CCAUUUUCUUGUUUAUCUUUUGAAGAUGUGAUGAGUAGCUGUUCAGGUUUUUUCUUUUUUUCAAAGCAUUAAUGAAAGAAAGUUGAAUAGGGCAGAUAAUUAUUUCUGUAAGUGGGAGGGGAAGAGAUCUGAGCAGGAAUGCUUCAAGCAUUUUCAGCCUAUUGUCCUCCAUGAUUGACUUGCUUUCCCAAUGGAGCUAUAGACUGGCAGUUUCCUUUAUCUUCCCUGUAAUAGUUGCUAAACGGCUUUAUUGUGUUUGCCUCUACUGAAGGUACUAAAAGUAAAUGAAGAUAUCUGCUUAAAUUGAAGUGAUAUAAUUAUGUUAUAGAUACUUCUUGAGAUACCAUGUUUUAUAGAAACAUCACGAUGCUGCUGGAAAUGGCUCGCCACUUUAAUUACACUUAGUUGGAACAUAGUAUCUCCUAAUAUGCUUAUUUUUUCCUUUGUCUUUGUAAAAUGGGUGAUGCCACUCACUUGCUCCUAAUAAUAUCUGGAAGAUUUUAGCAUGCAGUCAAGCUACUCUGAUUUAUGUUGACUGGGAUAUCAUUUUCCCAUUUAGAGUCAAGUGUUUUAGUUUCACUAGGCAUUUUAGUUUUCAUUAUCAGUAUUAAUAAGUGAGUAAGCUUAUAUGCAUUUUCUUAUUUCUCUGUUCCUGGUUCAUGGAGUAGUGAAAUCAUUGCAUCUCAUACAACAGAGUAAGAAAAGAGUUAAGUGAAGAAGCUAAUUGUGGACUUUAAUGUCUUUUUUGUGUCCCUUUGACUUUAGUGGAACCUAUUCCUUAGUCAGUGUGCCUAGGAUUGCAACAAUGGAAUGACCUGGUGAAUUUCCUGUGAGGAGACUAUCCUUCACAUUCUCAACUUCUGCUUUCAAGGAAUACCAUCUUUUCUAAAAUCUUGUAAGGUUUGCAUCCAAGGAAUUCCUAAAUGAAUAACAUUUCUCUAUAUAGAAUACAAGUACAUGUAGCUUGUUAUAUGUAAAGUUCAUAUAAGUGUGUAGCUUUAUGCAGGAUAGGUAUUGGCAUGUGGUAUAUUUAGGCAACUGUAGGUGCCCUCAGAUCCACCACUAAUGCCUGCUCUGGGCUCCCCUAUUUAAAAAAUCUGGCUCAGUGUUCUGAGCAGUGCUAUGUCAGUGCAAAUUACUGUUUGCAACAUUUGCAACCUGAGACAUAGUGCUGCUACCUGCUACUUCCAGGUAAGCUUAUCAGGACUCACUUGACAGAGAAGAAGCUCACCAGUGGGUAUUUUGCUCAGGGCCCCCUCCAAGACAUAAGCCACCCCGGUUUUAUGAUGUACAAGUAUGCUUGUAAAUUGAUGUAGAGUAGUUUGCAUGUGAGUUGACUUUUGCUGGUACAGUUGCUUCCAUGUGCACCAUGUUUAAGAAUUAAAAUGAAGUAAAAGGCAGCUCUCAGGCUACCUCAUUAAUCUGUAAGUUGCAGUAUGAGGAAGUGUGGACUAAUUUGUACUCCUUCAUUCCACUUCACAGUGUGGUGCAGAACAGUGGUAGCCAACAUGUUGCUCUCCAGAUAUUGUUGGAUUCCAACUCCAGCCAGCAUGACCAGUGAUCAGGGUUGGUGGGAGUUGUAGUCCAUCAACAUCUGGACAGUACCACAUAGGGUACCGCAGUCCAGGAGGUGUAAAUCAGAACAUUUUGCUCCCAAAUACAGAGUGGACAAACUUCUCCCUACUCCUAGUUAUAGCCUUAGUCAUUUAACAAACAUAGAACUUUAAAAAAACCCUCUGUCGUUUGAAUGUUAUAAUGGUGUUUGUUCAUGAGAUGGCAGUUUUUUUAGAAUACAUUUUAAAUACUGAUUGUGAUAAAAAAUAUUUUAGUAGAUAUGGGUAAGUAGUUCUUAAAACUAGGUCUUUAGUUCCAGGCUCUAAAGUAACUUAAUGGGUAUGUGUUUGGACACUUAAUAAUUUUAAUUAGCAAGUCAGAAGAGGAUUUCUGCUUUCUGGUAUUUGGUUGGAUUUAUUUUCAAUUUAUUUAAGCCAAAUUGUGUGGUUCUUCCCCCUCUACCCUGCUGUUUGAAUGCUUUUCUGUUUCUAGGGGCCAAGGAUUGGAUUUUUACAGUGCGACAGGACUUUGGGGAUUUCAGUUUCCCUGUGGUGAAAUUGUAGGAAGAAUCUGCAGUUCAAAUGAAAAAAAUGAACCAGCAUGGUUGGAUGUGCAAUGCUUUUAAUACCAGUUGCUGGGAAAUGUGAGCAGGGAGAGUGCUGUGGUGUUCAUGUUCUGCUUGUGUUCUUCCUGGAGGUAUCUUGUUGAGAAUAAGAUACUGGACUAGAUUUACCUUUAAUCAGUUCCAUCAGGACUGUCCUUAUUUUUGUAUCCCCAGAUUUGUAUGUUUUCAUACCCGUGUACAUAGCCCAUCUGCUUGGAAUUUUUUCUAUUCCCAGCUCCAAGUUUCCACCUUCUAUUUAUGCUAGCCUUCUAUAGUCCUCUAGUUUGAGAGCACUGGGGUGUUGGGUGGAAAUAUAGUAUGAAGUGCUAAUGUGUAUUUUAGAAAGUAAGGUUUUAUUUUUGACUGCCUUAAAACCUCUUUCACUUGCAAGUAUACAGCAGUAAACAGAUUUUGUGGUUACUAGUUUCAAUUUUCAACCUAAAAUGUUGGUUUUGGAAGUGUUGCAUGUGAUCAGUAUCAUAAAAAUGCACGAGAACCUGCAUAAUUUGUUUAAAAACAAAUUCUCAGAUGGGGACAUGGUGUUUUGAAGUCUCACCUUUUUCUUUUGAGUAUAUAUACUUACUUUGCCAAAUCUUUAUUAGGCAAUACAAAAAUAUAGGCCAUCAUUAAACAUCCAUAUAUAAAAGUUUAAAAUAUAUACAAAUAAACAGCUAUGUAAAAAAAAAAGAUUUCCAAGUCAAUACCAACAGAUCUGAUUUUGGAACUGUCUGGAUUUGUGACAGUCCUUAAGUCAGAAAGCAGACUUGAAGGUUGGGAAUGGAAAUGGCAACGCAACCAGUAUUUUAUUCCAUUGUGUGAAUACCUGGUUCUGCACACAUUGUCUCAUACUUGAUUGAACUUGGGAGCCCCAGGAUAUGUCUCAAGAAACUUGAGUGUAUCUUAUCUAAAUCACUAUUAUAUGCUUGUAUCCAUAUUGGGAUCCCAAAAAGUAGCUGGGAUGAUACUUUUGCUGGUAUAAAUUGGUUACCUUUCUGAAAAUAAAAGUGAACUACCACUUUGCCUGUUUUAUAGCACUUGUGUGAUGGUUUCACUAACCUGAGUUGCUCUGGAAUAAAAUUCCGAGAUAUCUGUGCACCUUUACUUGUUGGAUUUCUUGUCCUCUUAUUUUCCAUUUCUCUAAUUUCUGGAAAUUAGAGAAGACCAGAAUUUUUGCCUUCUCAUAAUUUAUUGAGAGUUUAUUGGGUUUUUGAGAGUUUAUAGGAAAUCAGGGAGAAUAAAAGACGUUUCAGACUUAUCUUCAUCAGUGAUAAUAAGACUGCAUCAUCCGCAUACAGUAACAGUGGGACUGGACUUUGUUUGAUUUUGGGGGCAUGUGAUUCUUUCUUUUUUUUUAAUGUGCUCUGAAAGAUCUGAUAAAAAUAAAAAAGGGGAGCAAGAAUACACCCUUGUUUUACACCUUUCAUAUUAAGGAUGUUAGAAGAGAGGUGACCUUUGGCAUUGUGUUUGAUUUGACAGUUGCUAAAGGAAUAUAAAUUCUGUGUUAAGAUCAGCAAGCAUUGAUUGAUUCCUAACACUGCAAGCUUCUUCCACAAUAUCACACGAGAGUAUAUAUGAAGGGGGAAGACAUCUUUAGACAUCAGUAAUCUUACUACAAUGCAUGAUGAGUGAAAUCUACCUAUAUUUUUCUAUGUUUAGCUUCAUAAAGCAGAUUGAAUUUGUGUGUGUGUUUCUGUGGUGCAGUGUGUAGGACAGCUGGACUCCAAAUUUUGGACUACAGCACUAAUGGACCAGUAAAAUAAAUUUAGGCUGCUUUGAUGGGUCUCUUUUGUCAUGGCAAUUGUCCCAGCAGCUUAUUAUAGUCAAUAAGCUGAGAAUUAUCAACUUGUGAUACCAUUAUAUGUCAACCUUGUUCAACUGUCAUAAAAAUAAUCUGCCCUGGCACUAGUAGUAUUAAUAAGCUUUUGAUAUUAGCGCCAGUAAGUAUUUAAUAUUUGGAAUAGUGGUACGAAACACACACACACACUAUAGAUUAAUAUCUCUCAGAAAUAUUACAGAUCCCUUUGUUACGUGUAUUUUAUGCAUAGUAUAUUGAAUUUAAAUUCUGGAGCAAGCCCCGAGUAUAAAUUCAGUUGUUCAGGUUGAUUGCAGCUUAUGCGUAUUUUACUUAAAUGAUUUCCACAUUGCAUUGAUUGUGAAUAAAUUAAUAAAUAAACAGAAUGGGGGUGGUAGGCUCCUGCGAGAGCUUGUGAUAUUAUUUAUUAAAUUUUUAUAUCGGUCUUCAUCUGUAGAUCCCAGGGCAGUUUACAACAUAAAAUACAAAAUGCGUAACAUAAUAAUAAUAAAAAUAUCUCCCCUCCCCCCAAAAAAAUCCAUUUAAAAGGUCAUAGAUUGUUUAAUCAGCCAAAGAUCUGGUUGAGAGGAAUAUUUUCACCUUGCCUCUUGGGGCAAGGUGGAUUGACCCAGUUUUAAUGUACAUUAACUAAAAUAAGUAUUAUUGAAUGUAUUGCGAUAGCUCAGUCAGUGGAGCUUGAGACUCUUCAUUUCAGGGUCCUGGGUUCAAGCCCCACGUUGAGCAAAAGAUUCUUGCAUUGCAGGGCUUUGGGCUAGAUGGCCCAUGUCCCUUCCAUCUCCACAAUUCCAUGAUUCUAUGAUUCUGUUAUAAACACAAAUCAAGCUUUAAACAAACAAACAAAUAGCUACAGUGUGCAGGCGGAAGAAACCAAUGCAAAAAGAUAGACCGCAUAGGUGAUGGCAAAGUUGUGCAUGUUUAGUGCAAGUGUUUGGUUAUAUUGUUGUGCCCCUUUUUUGAACUUGGGCUGCUGCAAAAUUCUACUCCAAGCGGUAUGUAGGGCACAGUUUGAUGAUUCCACCUGAAAAGAUGAGUAAGUGCAGUUAUUGAUGUCUUCUUGCUAGAACUGAAACAUUUCCAGUGCAUUCCAGUCUCCCGCCUGGAUGAAUCAUCUGGUCAUGCUGUUUUGUAGGUACAGUGGUACCUCGGGUUAAGUACUUAAUUCGUUCCGGAGGUCCGUACUUAACCUGAAACUGUUCUUAACCUGAAGCACCACUUUAGCUAAUGGGGCCUCCUGCUGCCGCCGCGCCGCCGGAGCCCGAUUUCUGUUCUUAUCCUGAAGCAAAGUUCUUAACCUGAAGCACUAUUUCUGGGUUAUCGGAGUGUGUAACCUGAAGCGUAUGUAAUCUGAAGUGUAUGUAACCCAAGGUACCACUGUAUAGUGUCUGGCACUAUUAUAAAAAAGAACCAAUGGCUCUGCAUGACCAAUAAUGAAUCACAUCUGCUUGAGAACAUCGAAAGCCUAUAUAUGUAGUAUUAAAGCCAAUUGUGUUUUCUCUUACCUAGGUUUUCCUAGCUGACUUCAAACCAUUGUUUCAAAAUGAGGAAACCCUUCAAAUCAGUGCCAAUGUAAUGCAACCCAGUGGCAUUUUGAGGACAGCUUAAAACAUGUUUCCUAGGAACAAUUAUAAUUGUAUUCAGUGUGCAGGGAAUACAGUUAGCACUGGAUGUAGGGCUGGUCAUGUAAUGCCAGGCUCUGUGUUGACAUUAUACAUGACCCAAUCCAGUCAUACUGGUUUAUUGACAGCAGGGGCACUAUUCUUUUUGGGCCUGUGGCCACAUUUGCAAAUUGUGGAAACUGUUGUGGGUGCCUAAUUAGAUAAGGGGAGACUCCAGAAAAGGUCCUUCAGGCACAAGUGCACCUGUGGGGUAUCAUGAUCCCUAACCUACAGGAAAUCUGAACUGUUGGUUGACCAAGAUUUGAUUUGAAUUUAGCUGUUUCUCCUGAUUUUUUUUCCAACUAGAAAAAAAUACAUGCAUAUUUAUAUAUCUCUCUGUAUUAUGUAUCUCCUUUGGGAGUUUAUUUUGAAACUUGCUUUUAGUUGUUUUUAUUGUAUGUUUCUAAAUCACUUUAAAACUUAUGUAAAAGGCAAUUUGUAUAAUAAUAAUGAUGAUGAUGAUGAUGAUGUGUGGAAUUCAUGCUCUACCCUUUCUUAAUCCCAGUAGCCAAAAACAGUAUAAGAAAGUUCCCCAGCUAAAAUUUUAAGAUUACAUAGAAGCAAGUCCCAGGGAACUAAAUGGGAUUAUUUCUGAGUAGAUGUUCAUAGUGUUGCACUGUGGAGCCAAAUCAAUUAUUGGGUGUUGUGAUAAUUUUGACUAUAUAUAUGUGGAACUAAUUUUGACUGUCAGUGAAGUAUAAAGAAAAUUAGCGACAUACUGCAGUAAUGUACUUCUCAUAUCCCUAAGUGGUGAAGAGUCCACUUUGGGGAAAUAUGGAGUAUGUAAGAGUUGAUUUUGCAAGGAAUUAAUGCAGUGAGCAGAAUCCAAGUCUCCCUGAACAGACUUCUUCUCACACAAUGUGACUUCGCCUUCAUCCCUAUGAAGUAUCCUCCAAACCUCUGGGGCAGAUUUUGAGAUAUAGGUGCAAGGAGAGGAAAGAAUGAAGAAAUCUCAUUACCUAAGUUGAAGUUAUUUCUGAUCUCACAUGAAUGGAGUGUGAUGACAAACAAUGGCAUGUGGUGAAGCAGGAGGUAACUAAUGAAGUUUGUGAAGACAGGAAGAGAGUAUGAAAAGGACAGGAAUUCAUUUGUGUGCUUUGGCAUUAUGUAUGAACUUACUUGAUGCCAUGGAAAAAAACUCAGGGUGAGCCAACUUUAGCAAAGUUCACUACCAAUUUAUAGAAGGUAAAAAAGAAAGAAAAUGUUAACAGUAUUCUUUAGACUAGAAGAAUGGCAGCUGGCUCCUGCCUUGUGCCCACAUUCGGUAUUAAAAAAUAGCACCAUUGUAUAUAUACUAAAAUUAUUUAUACCUCAGUUAUAUUCAGCAAGGCAUUUUGAUGCUAGCUGUACUUGGGUGGUACAGACUUUUUGGCAAGUUCACUUUUAAAAGGCUGUGUUUAUUAUUGUAAUUUUAUUUAUAUUAUGUUGUUUAUGAAUAUUCUAUAUGAAUCAAGUUUCUUGUCUUGAAUCAAUUAGAAGGUUUAUUUUUAUGGUAGAAAACACAUAUCUUAAAUAUAUAAAUAACAGAGAAAGAACCCAUAACAUAUGCUGUAAUGUUUUUAUGCUUAUAUAUUAUGUCAUUAUACAUAAACCAUAAAAUCUUGUCAUAGGCCAGCCCAACAGAAAUGUUCAAAGCAAUACAUUCCUAUGUGGGGCUGCCCUUGGGUCUAGUCUGGAAGCUUCAGCUAGUGCAGAAUGCUAUGGCCAGACUGGUGAUUUUUUAUUAGAUUGUAACUUAUAAGAACAUUAUUACACAUCAAAUAAAAUAUCCCAUCCUAACCCGGAAGAUGGUGAUUAAGCAAUAUCCUCCAACAUAAUAUCCGCAUAACAUAAUUUAGUUCCCACCCCAGACAACCAUUUGCACGGAAAGCAAACCAAAGGGAGUCUUCUGAUUUCCUUUUCACCCAUAUAACUUUUCACGCAGAGCUAUAUCAGUCAGUUGCAAAAGAGUCUUUAUUCUUCAAACCCUGUUCCUAUUUUAUUUUAUUAGUCAGUUUUUCCACAAGUGCUAUUUGCUAUACUUUAUUGCACCAAUUUGUCAAAGAAGCACUCUCCAAAUUAUUUCAGUAUCUCAUCAUUAUUAGCCUGGCUGCUAGGAAGAAAAAGAACAUAUUAGAGGUUUUAACCGUUAGUAUUAUCUCCCGUGAAAAGAUUGAGUGGGAUCAGCUCUGAACAUUUGGGAGGGGGGCUGUCUGCUAAUUUCCCAUUCUGAGCUUGAUAAGUGUGCAUGACCCAAGGCCAAAGAAAUAGGCAUAGUUCUGUGUUGAGUUAUGGCCUUCAUCUGUGGGGUUCAUAUACUGAUGGUGGUAUCCUAUGAUGAAAUGCAUCAUAUCCUGUGCUCUGUUAUGGUGAUAUGGAUGGGCCAAUUGGUAAUGUGGAGAUAGCUAUUUUAUUUCUUUAUUUCCAUUAAAGUCAGUAGAAAGAAACUCCUACUGUGCAAUGUUAAUGGGGGUUGUGACCAUGGAUUGAAGAGGUAUGGAUAUUUAUGUAUUCAUGUAUUUAUUUAUUUCCCACGAUUUCCCCUGAUUGUACUCAAGCCAGCUUACAGAUAAAAAUAAGAAUCUACAUCAGGGACAAGAGGGGAAUAAAGAUCAACAUCAGGAAUGAAGGAGGAAUAAAGAGCUAAUCUGGGAACAAGGGUGGAAAGAGACCAGUAGCGUCUCCUUCCACUGUAGCAUUAUGGUGGUGGGGCUGCUAAAGAGGCAGCAGAUCAGGUGAUGUGCUCCUUGGAGUCUGGAUCUGCUGCCCCUGUGCAUUCCACUGCCUGAGGACUUCACUGAGUGACCUCACCUUGCCUCAUGGGUGCGCCAACCUUGAGAUUGCCUCCAUAGUUGAGUAAUUUCAUGGACCUUUCAUGGUGGCAUCCAAGUGGCUGAGAGGGGGAAAGCUAGGUACAGUUGGUUGCGCAUCAUCUUUUGCAAAAUUGAAUUAUUGUGUACCAAGGCUGCAUAGAGAAGUGGCAAGGCUUAUGAGCUUCAUCCUCAGCUUUGACAAGAGGCUUUUAUACCACUUGUCAUUUCUUUUAGUUAAAAUGAAAACUAUAAAUGUACAAAACAUCCAUAACAAUAUGUCAGAUGCACAACAUAGUCAUAAUAGAUAAUAACAAUAAUUAGCAAAAUGCCAUUACCAAUGGACACUGCCUAUUUAAUUUGCAUUUAUGUUGUUUUGCUAAAAAUAACUCAUUAGUCUGAAAACUUAUCAGAUCAUGCUAGUAAGGCAAAUGCUGUAUGCUUAUUAAUACAUGUAUCAUUGUUUCAUGUUGUUUCAUGUAGUUAAUAAAUUACAUUCAUAGUUUCUCAAAUGUUUCUUUCUACAGUAUUGUGUACUCUUUACAUAAAUGAAGAGAUUGUGUUAACCUUUGGAAAAAUGUGCCACAUUUUAUUAAUCCAUUAUUUAAAUAUACAUAGCCUGCAGUGUAGGGGAUUCUUCAAACUUCUGAAAAGGUGGAGCGGAACGUUUGUCACUCUCAGCGCUAUUCUGCGAACGUAAGGUGCUUGAUGGAACUAGAUAAUGUGCUAUUAGUGCUGACCGUUCCAGGACUAGCAGCUAAAUGCACAAACUGUUACACAAAUGGGAUGGGGAAAUGGCUUUUUCAAGGUGAGAAAACACACUUAUAAGCACACUAAUUGUUUUAAAACUCAGCACAUAUCCGAGACCUCUACAAAGGUUAAAUGGUUAUCUGUUACUGUAGAGAGGGUAACAGAAAAAUUAAAAUAAAAUAAAGGGACACAAUCUGCGCAUUCGUAACUGUGAAGAUUGUAUGAAUAUUCCCUAAAUAUUGUUGAGCAUUUCUACCAUGAUAGAUCUGAGCCUAGCUGUGGCAGUGUGGGUAAUCUGUUGGAGAGGGAGGGUCAGAACUAUCAUGUCAGCUGAAAUGUUGGGGUCUUAUUUUCUCGUCUCUUCUUAUCAAAGUGGUAAUCCUUUUAGAAACACCUUCUGAUUUGUAGGGCAUUUUGAUAAUGUUUUUGUUGGAUUCCUUAGCAUAUAUUUCCAGAUAGGUUCAUAGGAGUAAGUAUAGUGGAUUCAGAUGAUACUUGAAACAAGUAAUAAUGAUUCAAUAAUCUGAGACUAGUUCUAGACAAUAAAAUUCCAGGCAUGUCGUGCAGCAACCUUAGUGGCUACAAGUGAAACAUGUCAGGCACUCCUCUUUCUUUUGUUGUGUCAGUAACUCUACAGGCAUCAGCAUGCAAGGCAAAACUGGCAAGCACCCCACUCCCUUCCAGUAACUAUUUCUGUAUAGGUGAUUUGUAUUCCAGUCUUCAUUAAAAUCAGUCCCAGAAUGGGGUACCACAUAAGGUUAUGUAAUGCAUCAUCUGAGGCCCUUCUUUGUGUGCCUCCUCCAUGAGAGGUCUGGAGGGCGGAAACAUGAGAAUGGACCUUUUUCUUGCAGUGGCUCCCAAUUUAUGAAAUGCUCUCCCCAGUGAGGCUCACCUGGCAACUUUGGUUAACAUUUUAUGGCUUUUUAAACGUGUUUGUAGGAGGGAGGGUUAUUGGUUUUUGUUUUAUUAUGUGGUUCGUGUUCUCAUUUUGUGUUUUUAUGUUGCAAGCCACUCUGUGAUCUUUGGAUGAAGGCCGUAUACACAUUUAAUUAAUUAAUUAUAACAACAAUAUUAAAAAAAUAAAACCACAGCAACAAAUUAAAUUUACACCACAACACUGGAUGAGUGACAAAACAUCUCCAGCCAACCAACCGAAUUCCUCUUCCGUAGCAGUGAGGAUGACUGUCUUUGUCACUUUCUCACUAGGACAUCUAAUUUUAUUGUUUCUUGCAGCUUCCAGACAUUCUUAAUGUCUGAGUUGGAGUUCACUUAUUUUGGAAUGCAGAAUAAGAUGGUCAUCAGAUGGUCAAGAUAAUAGCCUUGGGGUGGAGGUGGGGAAACAAAAGAGUUGAAGCCAGUCACCUGCUGAAGCCCUUGCUGCAAAAAUUGCCAUUCUCACGACAAUUUUAUUUUUUGUUCUAUGACUACUUGCGUGUACGUUUCUAAAGGACAUGCUGAUGACUGCAAAUUUGGCAAGGAAUAUAAGUGUGUUUCUCCACUAGAGUUGCAAAAUGAACAGAAUGGAGACUGCAGUCUGGUUACUGGUAUAUAAUAAGAAUAACAUCGAAGCUGAUAUGACACCUCAUACUUCUGUAAUUAUUACUCUGGCAGCUUUCCUAAUGCAUCUGUAAUGAUUUACUUCUGAAGAGCCAUUCUAGUUACAGAGUGUGCUAGAGCUAUUCAGCGUUUAGAAUUAGUUUUCACAUAAUGAUUGUUGAAGUUGGUCUCUUACAAUUUAGGUCAGGGAAGAAUAUGUGUGCAUACUGAAGUAACAGCUUGCAGGCCCUCAAGGUAGGCAGAUUUCUAAGGAGAGAAUGCAGAAAGUAUUGUAUAAUACUUUGUUCAUAUCUUUUGGGCAAAGGAAUGGAUUAGGAAAGUGCUGCAAUAAUCUCUCUUUAAACUACAUUUUAAAAAUUGGAAGUGUAUUAAUCUAUAAAGUUUUGGGAGACUGAAGUUAUUUAGUUACUAUUUUAAUUUUUAAAAUUGUAUUUAUUGACUGUCCAUCAACAUAUAUUCCAAUAACUGACCAACACGUAGCAUGUCCGUAUAUUACAAAAAAAUGCAAACUACUGUAGUAAUCACAACAUUAAAUUUGCUAAAACCAUAAUCAUUUCAGAAUAUCGCCUCCUGAAGAGAUGCAUUUUCAAACUCUGGUGGUAACUAGCCAAUUAGAAGGCAACUCAAAUCUCCUGGCAGAGAUCAUUCCAGAGCUGGAGCACCACCACCGAUAAGGCCCUAACCUGAGUCACCAUUUUAUGAGCUUAAUGCAAUGGCAAAACUAUCAGCAGGGGCCCCGCCGCAUAUCUUAACUUAUUGGAAGGAGCACUUCUUCAAGUAUUUGGGUCCCAUAUGAUCAAGUUCUUACAGGUAUUAUGAGGCACCUGUAGUAGUGCCAAUUCUGCUAUCAAAGCUGUGGAAGUGGGCACACAUGGGGUAGGGUGAUCUUAUAGGUUAACUGGUUCCAGGCUGUCAAUAGUAUAGAAGUAUGAACUCGGCCCAGCAGCAAUUCAGCAACUGGUGCAGACCUCUGAGCACAGGGUGUUACUUGCCAACAAAGCCUCCUUCCCACAUGUCUUAGUCAUGGAUUGCCAUGAGCUGUUGUAAGCUUUACUUAUUUAUACUUCACACAAAAAAUUAUACAUGCUUGAUUGUAAUAAAAUUUCAAAGCAGUGUAUGGAAAGAGUAAAACUACAAAUAUCCGUUAAAUACAGCUAUAACAUUCAAAUUAUUGUUAAAAUCAAUGAAAAGCUAGAAAAAAAUUAAAAUGCCUCAACAUGUUGUAGAAAAUAAUGGUGUUGUUGUUGAAGAACAAUGUUUACUUCUUAUUCUGCUUACACAUAGUCACAGCAAGCUUCAAUGGGGUGCUUUCCAUAAGAAUGCUGUUUUACUGUACAGUGUUACCUCGGGUUACAUACGCUUCAGGUAAUAGUACUAGUAAUAGUACCUCGGGUUAAGAACUUUGCUUCAGGAUGAGAACAGAAAUUGUGCUCCAGCAGCACAGCAGCAGCAGGAGGCCUCAUUAGCUAAAGUGGUGCUUCAGGUUAAGAACAGUUUCAGGUUAAGAGCAGACCUCCGGAAUGAAUUAAGUACUUAACCCGAGGUACCACUGUAUUCACUUUUCAAAGAAAUUCUGUAUUUUUGUAUGCUCUGGUCUCAAAAAUAUGAAAAAAUCAUUUUAUUGAUUUUCUGAUAUGUGGAUCACAGUUCAGAUGUAAAUGAAGUGAACCUGAGAAUGGAACAGUUGAAUUUGAAUCAUGGAAUGUAAAUACAAAGUGUGGUGUAGUGGUUAAGAGCGGUGGACUCAUAAUCUGGGGAACUGGGUUCACAUCUCCGCUUCUCCACAUGCAGCUGCUGGGUGACCUUGGGCCAGUCACACUUCUUUGAAGUCUCUCAGCCCCACUCACCUCACAGAAUGUUUGUUGUGGGGGAGGAAGGGAAAGGAGAAUGUUAGCAGCUUUGAGACUCCUUUGGGUAGUGAGAAAGCGAGAUAUCAAAUCCAAACUCCUCUUCUUCUUCUUCUUGCACAGACUUGUGUAGCUCAGGCAAGACUGCAGAUGCACUGUUUAAAAAAAAAUGGCAGCAACAAACUAGCUAGGUAAGGUGGCAAAUAGUGACAUGCGUGUCAUCAGAACUCUCCGUAACUAAUGUUGCUGACAGACUAUCCAGAUGUUUCAUUGUUGCUGGAUAUUAUUUCUGGGUGUGCCAACAGCUGGAAAUUCUAUGACCAUGUCUUAGCUUCUGUGUUGGGCAGCUGAAGAGCAAUCUGUGUCAGCUGCAAAUGUUUCAUAUCUUUUUGAAAAUUAAUAGGGCAUAAGCUGAAUUUGGUUUGAAUUUUUCACUUGGAAAUAUAUACAUACAUACACAGUCCUAAUCCAUGCAGUAUUGGACAACUGAGAGAACUGUGUGAUAUGCAUGUGCUUUAUUAUGUUAAACUGACAAUAAAUCCCAGGCCAGCUCUUUGAUACUGGGUAGAAAUUGAUAACACCUUAUGACUUGUAAAGAGUUUACAUUUGAUUUAUGGAAGAUUAUAGAGAAGUAGCAUCAGCAGCUUUCCAUGUUCCUUCUGUCCAAACACUGUUCAAAGCCAUAGUUGGGUGUCUUACCAGCUAUUCGUUCCCAUAGAGAAAAGCAUAGUUCUUUAAGGCAUCUUUCUUAGAAUCAUAGAAGGGACCCAAGGGUCAUCUCAUCCAACCCCCUGCAAUGCAGGAAUUUCAGCUAAAGCAUCCAUGACAGAUGGCCACCCAAUCUCUGCUUUAAAACUUCCAAGGAAGAAGAGUCCACAGCCUCCCAAAGGAGACUGUUCUUUAUUUCCCCCUUUCUUUUUUUUUGCACAGUGCCAGUGAACUGGUGUCAAGGUCUCACUUGAACAGUUUAGGAUUGACUGGCAGGGCAAUGGGUUUGUUUUACAAACAAGAAACUAUUAAGUGUUCAUUUUAGGAAACAUAACAAUAGGGAAGAUGGCAGAAAGUGGUGGUGCAUGUGGUGUAAAGGAGAAGCUUUGUGCCUAUGCAGAAAUAAGGAAAUAUUUCGAAGCAUUUGCAGGAUGUUGCAGGAUCUUUACUGUUGCAUUACAGUAAGAUGCCUUUGACCCAGAUCCACCUUGUGAAAACUUCAAGAUGACUGAAAGCAAUCAUUUUUAGUCUCUAAUAACUCUCCUGAGAAUGUCACUAUGCCACCAUAUAGCAGCAUUUCUAGGGGAAUUCUUUCCCAGGAAUUUGGCCAGAGCAUCAGUAAGGCUCUCUUGAUCUAAACCAUGGGUAGGCAAGCUAAGGCCCAGGGGCCGGAUCCAGCCCAAUCGCCUUUUAAAUCCGGCCCGCAGACUGUUCGGGAAUCAGCGUGUUUUUACAUGAGCAGAAUGUGUCCUUUUAUUUAAAAUGCAUUUCUGGGUUAUUUGUGGGGCACAGGAAUUCAUUCAUUUCCCCCCCCCUUCGAAAUAUAGUUUGGCCCCCCACAAGGUCUGAGGGACAGUGGACCGGCCCCCUGCUGGAAAAGUUUGCUGACCCCUGAUCUAAACAAAAAUAAUGAAAAUGUGUUUUGGAGGGAGGGAUCCUCAGCCACUAUGCAGGAUAAGACAAUGAGCAUAACCAAUUCCCAAGCAAGAAGCCCUUAGAGCUGUAAUUCUGCAAACAUUCUAGUUAGCAAGAAAACCCAGCAGAAUAUUCAAUAAAAAGUGGCAUAUAGGGACUAGGAAUGUCAAGGAGGAUUGUAGUACUUCCCCCAUUUAUUAUCUUACCAAAACGUCCUGUUGUUGUUGUUGUUGUUGCUAUUCUAAAUCAGAGCAAUAUAGGAUUUUGAAGAAAUUUAAAUGUUUUUUUAGCUUGGGGGGGAGGGUGUAGUAGAAUCUUCCACUGCCAUGCUUCUCCAUUGGCAACAUUUUGAACACUUUCGCAUGUUACAAAGCCCAUGAUCCAACAGUCUUAGAGUUUUCACAGAGAUGCAGGAAAACAUAGAGCUAUAAGGUCAGAAAAUAACAGAGCAAGAAAACAAUAGGAGGCUUUGUGAGGACCCUAAUUUGACUUUGGAACAAGUUAUUGGCAUCAAUAACUUCAACUCAAGAGAGCGUUAAGGCCCACAUAUCACCCUGAUUCACAUUGUUGCUUGUCCCAGACAGAGAGCAGAUAGAAACCCCUAGUUUUUACAACUUUAUUCCCUUUUAUAUUUGAAGAUGCAUUUGCACCAGGAACAAAACUCAUCAGUUAAACUAUUAGCAAAGGUUAUUUAUUUCUUUUUAAAAAGUUUCUUCUUUUCAAAUAACAAGGCAAAGUAUAAUUAGCAUGACAUGUGCCCAACAAGGCAUGAAUAAAUAGAUUUACCAAGGAGUCAAGCUCUCAACUGCUUGAUGCAAGUUGUGCUGUACUCCUGACAACAACACCAAGCACACUGUCUUUGCUACUAAAAUUGCCACCAAUAAUAAAAUGUCUUGGAUGUAUUACAAAACUCUUAGCAGCCAUCGCCACCAAAUUACACGGGGUCAUUUGUAUGACUCUACCAAAAAUGCCAAGCGAUGGGGAAGACCUACUUUAAUGCCUUGAACCCUCUCUUCCUCAGCCAACAUUCUAGCUCAAUGGUUCUAAAACUCUUUUUUUCUUGGCCGCACUUUUAGAAUAAAAAUUGGCUCACGCCAGACCAAUUUUUUUUAUUGAUAAGAAGUAUAUUGGGAAACAAAGAGAAACAACUCUUAGCAGUGCUUGAUUUAUAACCUAGAACACAACUACUUUAUAAUCGGAUCAUGGGACACUCAGAAAGUAUAAAACAAUGUAGCUAUGUAAGAACAUGAAUCAUUCCCAAAAUAUAAUGAUAAAGGAUCCCCUUACAUAUGUAUUUUUAAGUAUAUAUACAAAUUCAGUGAGAGGUGUGAGCUUCCUUUUGCUGGGUAAUCUCAUGUAUAUUAGGUCUAAUUUGAAACGGACUCUUUAUCUCCUCGUUAACACAAAAAAAACCCCAUUCUUUUUUCUGAUCUUGUCGGAGUUGAAAAUCCCUAUUCACAGCAAUAGGUUGUGGAGAUCUGUAGAAGAAUAGCCAGUGCUCUUGAAUAUCUAUCCAUAUUCUGUAAUACACAAACACUAGACUAGACUAGACUGGACUAAAAUGUUUAAAUAUUUCUUUGAUUGUCCUUGACUCUUCCCAACCUACUUCCCAUCCUCUUCUACACCAGUAUGGUGUGCCACAUCCUUUGAGAACCACUAUUCUAGCUUCUGAUUUGCUAAUCUGAACAUGAAUCCCUUUUACAAAAGAAAAGGGGGUACUUAAACAAUUGGGCCAGUUGCUUGCUUAAAACAUGACUGCAGGUUGAUCCUGCUAGACAGAAAUUCACUCUUCAUCAGAUGACAAAUUAUAAGAGAAGAAACAGAUAAAUAUAGCAUAAAAAUAUCUAGACAGAUUCCUCCACAGUGUUGGUAAAAAUGGUUGCCAAACAAGGCUUCAGUUUACAUGUUCUUAAAGUCAUUACUUCAGGCCAUUUCACACGUCAAGAGGACAUAUCUUCAGGUCUUUGAAUAGCCCAUCAGUUUGCUGUGCAGCCAUCAGGUAUAAUUCAGCACAGAUGGGUGGGAGAAGCUCUCCCUCCUUUUUAAAAAUAAGACAUUUUACUUUUGUAAACAAGACCAUAGCCCCCCACCUUCUGGAUUGGUUACAGCAGGACAAGCCAUUAAUAAAAUAAUGCACUGGAGCUGAAUAAUCACACCUCCGCCAGAGAAGAAAACAUAUUAGCAUUUAAAUUAAGAAUCCUGAGAGGGCUAGGCAGAGUAGACAAGGUGCACAAAAACUCUUUGAGGGAUCGUGGUCGAGAAACAGUUAUAGUACAAUGGGCCACUCGGUGUGAAACACUUGGGAUUAAAUAAAGUUAAUGCAAUAUUAUAUAUCCAGUAGGUUAACUUUACUUUGCUUACACUUAAAACAAGGUUUGGACAAAAAGAGCCACUUGGACCCGUUUCCGAAGGAAAAAAAACUAGGAGCCGCAAAACCCUUGUGACAUUUAAAACAAAUAUAUCUCCAGAGCCGCGAUCUGACAGCGGGCAGGAAGGUGACGUCGGGACGGUGCGUGACUAACGCACGCACCGCCCCCAUGCGACGUCACAGCCAGUACAGCGCCCGCCACAGUGGGGAGUGUCGGGGCGCACAAUGCGCCUCCUCCCCUCGCUAGUAUCCACCCCGGAGCCGCGGCAAAGGUGUAAAAGAGCCACAUGCGGCUCCGGAGCCGCGGGUUGCUGACCCCUGAACUAGACCAAGAUAAUAACAUCACUUGCCUGAGUUAUUUGUGCAUCACAUUUUAUCCUGAAUGGAAGAAGCACCUCACUUCGUUGGGUUGUGUUAGGCGAGAUCCUCAGUGGAGGCUGGUUCAUUUGAGAGAAUGGGAUACUGUUCUACCACCUUCAAUCUGCCAUCAGCCAGACUCUACCUGUCUGCUUUCUUUCUUAGGACCAGUGCAUGGGAUAACACUGCUUGUCAGCUUCCAUGUCCUUGGUCUGUGUUGCCCCUAACUCAACAGAGAAAAGAUUAGCGAUGAAAUUGGAAAAAGUUGGCUCCAACUCUCAAUGGCUUUGGCUCUGUCUACUAUUGAUCUCUUUGCCUUCUGUCCUGUUAGUCCCAGUGAGUCCCAACAACCAUUGCUUGCCCUUCUUUUCUAUAUACAUUUUAAGGGGGGAAAAUGCUUGUAAAUUUGUCUAUUCAUUGAAAAUAUGUUUGACAUAAAAUAGCAAAACCAUUUCACUACUCCCAUUUGCCAUCUUAUGGAUAGGAUGAAAUGUGUUGGCGGUGUAUUUGGAUUAAAGGUCCCAGUGUUAUAAAUAUGACACUUGUAAAUAUGGGCCUUGGAUAGAUUUUGUAUAGUUGAACUGAAAAUACAUUUUCAAGUUUAUUGACAUGACACUGGGAGUUCUUUCUAAAGUAAAAAUGUGGCAUGGAAAGGCAUAAUCAGAAAAAUACUGUAAUCCUUAACAAAUAAUCAAGGCCACAACAUAAAAAACUGUCUAGUUUCACAUUCACAUUGGAGGUGUGUGCGUGUUAUAAAGAAGCUACUGUUGGGAAAAAAAACAAGUGUUGCAAAACGUUAAAAAUUAAUCAUCAUUUCAGAUGUGAGUAUACCAUGAUAGAGGGAUCUUGCAGAGUCUUUAUUAGAAUAAAGUUGUGCCACACUGAUAAAAAUUAGUCUGCUUUUGAUUAUUCAUUGACUAAAUUAAUUUGGUGGGUUAGUUCUUGUAAUGGUUAUAAACUGUAUUUUUGAAAUACCAGAGAUCUAAGCUUACGUCAGCAGUAGUCUUUAAUUGUUCUAAAAUGGCCAGUCUGUAUGCAACAAGCAUGCAUUUUACCAAAAAGCAAAAUUAGAAAACAACAAAAACUUGAGGGGGAACAUAAUUUUUUUUCUAUUUUAAUGAUUUCUCUUACAAUUUUGUCCCAAAAUGAGACCACCAAAGGGCAUUUCCUCCCUAAGUGAAUAUACAUGCCUCUCUGCUCCAGCUUUCAAAGGAUUUUGUGCCCAUCAUGUAAGCCAGUUGAACUGCAGUACAAAACCAUCUGUGUGAAAAUCAAUUUGAGGGGUUUCUUUUGCCAGACUACUCCAGAGCUCUAGUAUUAUUUCCCCUCCAAUGCCCUUCUCCUGUUUUGACUUAACCCUGUCACUAUCUCAGUAGUUGCUUCAAUCAAGAUGUUAUAGAUUUUUGGAGACCAAAUCUUUUGGGUAUUCUCUGUCUCCAAUAUUACCAGUUCAAAGAGGUUUAGGUACUUGCUCUUUUAUUGAAAUGCCAUACUUGGCGUAGUUAAAGCCAUAUAGUCAAUAUGUUUUGUAAUACAGUUUUUAAUUCUACUUCUGUAAAUGACUUCUUAUUAGUAUGAGCCUGUAUUCACCCCUGCAGAUUAUUGUCAUCAAUCAAUCAAUGGUAUAAAUGCUUUUACAUUUUAGAUACAGACGAACAAUUCAAUGACUUCGUAGAUAAGUGUUUGUGAUGCCCAUAUUAUUUAUUUAUUCAGUUGUAAAUGUUUUGUAUCUUUUUAGAACACCAAAUAUUUAUCUACGAUGGCCAUCUCUACAAAGCUUGCAUUUGACAUUCCUAGACACCAACAUCAAAUCUUUAGGAACUCUGUUGUUGCUUUGCUCCUGGAUUUUUGCAGCCCUGCUCUACAAAAAUGCUGGGAACAUUUCCAGGCUGCUUACAGAGUAGGUAUGCUGGUAGCACUAUUUUAGCAGAAAUGAAUCAGUCUGCCUGGAAACCUACUUCAAAGCUACAACUGAUGAUGAGCAUAUCUGAUUUGGGAAAAAUGAAAGAGUGGAGUACUUAAAAUGUCUUAAAUGAAGCAAUGUAUGGCACAUCUAAAUGGUAGCUUCUUGGAAGCUAUUAGAUAUGAUUUUGCUGCCAUAUGUAUGAAGAUUUAUAUAAAAUCUAGUAAAUCACAGGGCUCCUCCUGCAAAUCUGUCAGGAUUAAUUUUCUGCUCUGUGAAGCACAGCAAGUGAGACAGUGAAGCCGAAUGACAUUUUACACAGUAUGUGCUGCCAGCCUCUUGAUGCCUAUGGCAGUGACUGAAUCUACAGCAAAUGGACUAACAAUGGGUCAACAGAAUUGAUUAUAUAAUUCCUUCUUAAGAUUCCUCUCUUUGGAACUUUCACCACUGUCAAGAGGGAUGAUCGGGGAAAGAGCUGGCGAUCUAUAAAAUCCAUUUCAUUCAGCAUUGUUUGAUGGAGGAAGGGUCAUAGCUAAGGGACAGAGCAUCUUCUUGGCAUGCAGAAGUUCCUAUGUUCCAUCUCAUACAUCUCCAGGUAGGGCUUGGAGAGACCUCUGUCUGACAUCUUGGAGAGCCUCUCCCACUCAGGUGGGCAGUACUGACCUAGAUGAAACAGUGGUCUGACACAAUGUAGUGCAGCUUUCCAUGUUCCCAUAAUACUAUUUCUAAGGUGACUUCUGUACUUCAUUUUAUCUUAUUAGUUUGAACCUAGAAAAAUAUAGAGAGCAUUUUACAUGGAAUAUUUGUAUGUUAGGUAUUGGUGCAUCAGGUGACCAUAGGAAACACUUGCCCUGUGGCAUAUAUUAAAAUAUUAUAGUAAAGCAAAGCCUUCAAUUAGUUUUAAUGAUAGUGGACAGCUCCCUCUGCCUGGGAUAUCAAGUGAAUACAAACAGCAGCCAACCAGACAUCUCUAAGAAGCCCAGAAGCAGGAUGUGACUGCAAUAAACCAUUCUCCACUGUCCCCUCCCCACAACUAGUAUUUGGUGGAAUAUUGCAGUGUGUCCAUCAGGAGUGGUCCUGUUUAGGGCAUCACCCAGACACAAACAGGAGCCCUACAGCCAGACCUUGAAGAGAUUUGUGACUGCACAUCUUUCCUUUUUCGAAACCUCCAUGUAUAUUUUGGUGGGGUGUUUUUUAACCUCAUGGUACAUAUCCCCCAACCCUACCCACCCCCCAUCCAGGAUGCUACAUGCAUUAACAAAUGUGAGCAAGCCCAAUCUCUCCAUUUUGCUUUUGUUCUCCAAGUCAAUCAAAUCUGUGUUCAACAUACAGUGGUACCUUGGGUUACAAACACCUCAGGUUACAAACACCUCAGGUUACAAACACUUCGGGUUACAGACUCUGCUAACCUGGAACUUAAAUGUAGCUAAAGAGAUGUCACAGAUACAGUGUCAAGCAUUACUAAGUCCAAUUUGAUAUGCACUUUAUUUAAAGCAGAGAAAUUAUCUUUUGUGCAAUUUUUUUCUGCCAUCACUUUGCAGAUAAAAAGAAUGGGGGGAAAUUAUAUAGCAAUUUUCUCAGCUUCUGUUGACCCUGUCAGCAUAGCCCCAAUAGUAUUUAAACCCUUACAUGUGGCUUAUAAUUCAUCCAUGAUCACUCAUGCUGAGCUUAAAUUUAUAGCUCAGAGAAAUUAAUCUCUCUCAUUAAAAUAUGCAAGUUUUUAUUAUGAAAAACUGGCAAAUAUAAACACCAUGAAAUCAUUUAGACUUUAGGAUGCUGUAAAUAGCUUCUCUUAUUAUUCUAACAAUAAAAUAAAUGAAAAUAUGUAAGAUCUAGAGAUGCCACUUGGGGGCUGUUUUCAAAAACAUCUGCAAAAUAAGUAGUCACACAUGUUGAUGGACAGAGCAAUUGUAUACUUGAGUUAACCCAACAGAGGGGAAAUAAGAUUUGGCAGAAGUCCUGAUACAGCAGUGGAAUAUGAGUGGAAUAAUGCAAUGACAGAGACUCUAGUCCAGAUACACCAGCAGAUCACCUCCUCAGUGUAAUUGUUUUCCCAGCAAAUAUACACUGGCAGAUCAUUUAGACUUGAAACCAGACUGCCUUUGGAGCCAAUAUGAGGUUGUUUUCAAACCCAGCUGCCAUGUUUUGGGGCAUUUUUAGAGGGGGAUUUACAAUUUAGUGAGAGAAGCAUUAAAAUCCCCAGUGUGCUGUGAUUGCCAUGGACCCCCCCUCACUUAAUAGAGAUUACCGUUGGGAUGAGGAUGGUUAACCCUGUAUUGGGCAUGGUGCGGGGGGGGGUGUGCUAAAAUGGUUUUGUCAAACCUAAUUAUUGGGGAGGGAUGAAAAUGAAUGGUGGAUAACAAUGGAUAUAAGAGGCAUAAUAAAAAAAUGAAAAUGACAGGUACCAUGUCAGUGCUUCUGUUGGUGAAGUGUUAAUUAAAGGGAAGAAUGCCAAAAAGAAAAUAGAAACUGUCAAAUCUGGAAACAAAUAAUCAGUGGCAUUUCUUGUAAGCUAGGAUUGUGACCUAUUUUAGUUGAUAAUUUGUUAAUCGCCCUGAGGAAAGUAGUAGGUGUUUAUGGGUAUAAGAAGUAGGGGCUGCUGGAAUUAAGAGAUGAUGCUGAGGCUGUGUUAAUAUGACAUGAAGGUGGGGUUUAGCUGCCCCUAAACACCUUCCUUUCAUCUGCCUCCACGUCACCAUGGUAACGCUGUGGUAACUCCAAUUACAUAACGUUGCUUUGAUCAUAUUUUUUCCUGUGCAAUCACUGUGCCCUCUCCCAUCCAGCAGCUGAUGCUGUCAGGGAAAGCAACAAAGUGAUCAGAGGUUCUGUACUUUCCUGAGAGGCAGGAACCAAUUGUUCCCAUCCCACUUCUUAACAUAUUAAUUGAGCCCAGGUUAGGAGGCACUGGAAAAAACUACACGAUUGACAAGUUAUGCAAGGUGUACUGGAUUCACAGUAAGUCCUCCCAGGAAAAGGGGUGAGGUAAGUAAAAAAUCAACUAGUAAAUCAUCCCUAGUCUGCCUCUCUGGCCCAACACCUGGUGCAGGCCCCUUGAGCCCUACCCAAGAUCAAGAGAUUUCCUGGUGAAGAAGAUGAUGCUUCUGUGGACAAUAGCAACAGCUACCUCCAUGCCCCCAUCUAACCUGGAGCUGUACCAGAUAUGCACAAGUGAGUUGAGUCAAGGCUACCCAACUCACCCAUCCAAAUCCUGGUAAUACAUGCCAGGUUAGCCCCUUCCACAACCAAGUUGCAGAUGAGCAUGGACUUUUUAUGGACUCACCUGGCAGACCAGACCAGAGGGCUCAAUGGAUAAGCUGUCAGUAACUUUUGGAGGAGUAGGCAUAGGAGAGUUGAAAUGGGGGACAGGAACCAGAUGCUUCAGCUGAGUUCUUCAAGACAGUUCUUCUAGAGCAGGAGUUCUCAAGCUGUGGGUCCCCAGAUGUUGUUAGACUACAACUCCCAUCAUCCCUGAGCUCUGGCCUUGUUAGCUAGGGGUGAUGAAAGUUGUAGUUCAACAACAUCUGGGGACCCACAGCUUGAGAAAGGCUGUUCUAGAGAGAGACUCUCAUUCCCAGGAAGAUGGUAGUUUGAUACAUUUCCUUCUGAGUUACUACUUUUGUUUCUAUUUAAUUUUACUUCAGAUACUAAUGAAUCCUCAUGAGUAUGUGUGUCACUGUCCCAAUAACCUUUAUAGAAAAAAAAAGAAGCUGCUUUGAGAGCAGGGGGAAUUUAGAUCAGAGGAGUAGGGAGAUUCGUAACAGUUUAACGUUUAAAAUGCCCACCACCUCCUGGCUCCUAAGUUUUCUCCAGUGUCUCUUCCACCUCACAGGCUUCAGAUAUGUUUAAAUACAUAUUUUGAAUGCUAUGGUGUGGUGUGGUGGUGGGGAGAUGCUUGCAGUGUGAUUUGGAGUGGAGAAAUGGUGAGUAGGAAGAGAGUUACAUGCCCCCUCCUACAGCGGCUCAGCCAUUGUCAAGUUAAUGCUCCUAAAUUGGAUUCUAUUUUCUUUUCCCUUUUUAAAACAUGCAUUGUGGCAUUGUUACAUAUGUUUGUGUGUAAUAUAUUCUUUGCUGUAGUCUUUCAACAACAAUCUUGUCAUACUUGUGUUGGGAUCACACUUAACAUUCAGAAGAAUUGUUAUUUCCCUUUUGAACCAGAAAAUUAAGACAAUGCUACUGCUACCUCUUUGUAAUAUCUAGUGAAUACAGCUUCCUUGAAAAUUGCCAUGUGUAUUCGAGGGUGGGUGGAUGAAGUAUUUCCACCUGUGAGUGUUCGGAUUCUUUAAAAAUGUUAAUCAUGGCUAUGUUUAGAACAGCACUGGCUGAAUCUUAGCAAUUAAUGUUGACAGUAGUGUACAAAACUGCCAGAACAAUCUCCACAUCAGUUGUAACAGAGGAUUAUGCUGAAAAUUCGUCCAUGGUAUUCUUCUCUUGAAUCUAACUGAAAGUGAGGAAAAGCCAAGGAUUAUUAUCAUAAUACAUCAAUUUAUUCCUAAUCUGAAAGUUUGGAACACUGCGGCCUGAAACUUGAGCACAUUCUGCUAAAAUCUUUAUAUCUUAACAUUUAGAAAUUUUAAAAUAUUAAGAGGGUUAGAAAUGCCUUUAAAUAAAUUUCUGCAAACUUUUUCUACUAAUAAAAAUUGCCAAACUUUUUAAUCUACAAAUCUGCUGGAAUCAUAGCUCAAGUUGAUACAUACCGAUUUUCCAAAUACAUAUUUUUGAAUUUCAUAUGAAUAUUUAGGCAGGUAAUGGAUUUAGCUGCUGUUUUUCUUUAGGUUGCUUGUUGGGACUAAAUAAAUAUGUUUAUUUUAGUGGCUUGUAUCUGAAUCUGUCUUGCCACAAGGCAAAGCAUAUGUAAAAAAACACCUAACUAAUGUGUGUGUAGUGAUUGUGUAUAUGCAUGUGCUUGUUCUCAAGGUAAGAUGCGACUGAUAUUUUGGAGAUGUUUUUACACAAGGUUAGGACAGCAUGGGUAGUAUAUUUGUGAGUCGAGGAUGCGCAACCCGCGUAGGGAUAAAUAAGACACAAGGACACAUGUAUUUUAGGUUAAUGGGCUAAAGAAGACCACAACUUUAUUGGUUACAGCAUGUGAGUGGUAUUGGCUUAGGCAUUGGAUCAAACAACCUAUAUAUGACCCCACCCCGCGAUUAUAGUAUGUAAUUUUUGAACAGUAAUGGAGAAAGGGACUACAGCAACAGUAACAUGGUAAUUUAAGUUGAUAUGAUCUCAUAAUCUCAAAUACUGUGAUCUUCAUAUAGCAUAUUUACUCAUUCAUUCAUUCAGUUUAUAUCCAACUCUUUCUCCAAAAUGUUUAAUGUGAUGCAUCCCCAAAGUUUUCAAACUACUUCAUAUAUAUUACUUCAUUAAUCCUUAAAAUAGUCUGUCAUGUAGGCCACUGCAAUGUUGAAGGUAGGGUGCUGAGAUAGUUAUUUGUCUAAAGCAGGCACGUACAACUCUCUGGAGACUGCAAUCUACUCCCGGUAUAAUAAAACUGGCAAUUAAGAACCCAUUGUUCUUAAGCUUUUUUUAGUGGGAGAGACCAGAGUUGUUGAGCUUUUUUAAAGGAGGAUGGAGCUUUGAAUAUCUUGGCUGCUUCUGCUAGAUGCAGUGCCAGAAUGUACUGGUACGUGUGGUGAUGAUGCAGCAUAUCACCUAAAAAUGCAGGCUGACUCCGUAGGUGCGGGUUAGUGGGGGUUGUAGGUCUACCACCAGGGAUCCUCAAAGCUGAGGCAAGGAUCUAAGAGGCAUGCAUUGCAAUAUGAGAUCUUGAAUUGGAUACCUCUUCAGGCCAGUGAGGAGCAGAAAUUCCUAGAGACAGGAACCCCAAUAGACUGGCUCUGGUUUGUAUGAACUAAAUAUUAACUCUGUGAAACUUGCAUUCACUCUUCCUGGUCAACAGAGAACCAGGCAGAGGGCCUUCUUGGUGGUGGCGCCCUCCUUGUGGAACACCCUCCCGUCAGAUGUCAAGGAGAUAAAGAACUACAUAACUUUUAGAAGACGUCUGAAGGCAGCUCUGUAUCGGGAAGUUUUUUUUUUAAUGUUUGAUGAUUUAUUAUGUUUUGAUAUAUGUUGUAAGCUGCCCAGACUGGCUGGGGAAACCCAGCCAAAUGGGCAGGGUAUACAUAAUAAAUCAUUAUUAUUAUUCUAAAAUUGUUUAGGUGUGCAGCUGUUCCUUGCACUCCUCUUUUCUGGCUCUUCUCCAUUAGUCUUAAGAUUUGUCUGGCCUCCCCAUUACAUAUCCUUAGAGUUCAUGUUGGUCCCAACUCUGACUCUGAACACUGCCUGAGAACGCUUGCCCAAUUCUGUUCUCAGUGCUUUUUAUAUCUUACUACAGUGGUACCUCAGGUUACAUACGCUUCAGGUUACAGACUCCGCUAACCCAGAAUUAGUAGCUCAGGUUAAGAACUUUGCUUCAGGAUGAGAACAGAAAUUGUGCGGCGGUGGCACAGCAGCAGCGGGAGGCCCCAUUAGCUAAAGUGUUACCUCAGGUUAAGAACAGUUUCAGGUUAAGAACGGACCUCCAGAACGAAUUAAGUUCUUAACCCGAGGUACCACUGUAUACACUACAGUUAAUGCUAUAAUGUAGUUGCUAUUUUCCACAACCCCAGAUCAAGCCAGGCUGGAAAGUCAAAGUGCUGACAGAUGUUGAAGUGUGUGCUCUCACAUCAGAAAAGUGGAUUGUGAGAACUCUAAAGGUUAACAGUUUGGGAUGCCCACAAGGCAAUGGUGAGAUCAUUUGUUUUUAUUAGCACUUAAGGGGGGUUGAUGAAUCAGCCCCCAUAUUGGGAUUCACUUGACCUGAGAGAAUUAGUUUUGCCUACUUACAUUCUGAAGUUUUUGUUUAGUGAAAAAUGUCAUUGAACAGACUUCUUGACUUUUUUGUUGUAAAUAAGCAGAAUCUCAUAGCUUUGCCAGAAAUAUAUCAUGCUAUUGAAUGAUUUCUUUAGAUAUCAUAAGGGGUUCUUUCAGUCCUUUUGUUAAGCUUCUUUAGCACACCUUGAAUGGUUUUUGAAGUGAGAUCAAGAAUAAUUUUAAUUCCUACAUGGCAUUUACAGGAGGGAGGGAGAGCUGGGAACACUCAGAAAGCAAACUAAGCUUUGCAAUCAGCAAACCAUCCAGUUCCUGCAUGCGUUUACCACCUACACAUUUUUAUUGCUGCCCUGCUGCAUUGCAUAAAAGAAACAUGAGUGUGCUGCAUGUGAAGCAGAAAAAAGAAAAUGUCAACCUACAUUAUUGGAAAGAAUGAGGAGUGCCUGCAUAGCACACGUUCUGUGUAUUUUACACAUAGAAUUAUUAUGUUUUUAAGUUUAAGGUGCUAGCGUCUUGUGACAGUUCUUUUGGUUGUUUAUAAGGAAAUAAUACACUUGAUCAAAGAGCGAAAAUACUUUGGUCAGGUAGUAUUCUGCGUAUGAAAUCAGAUAAAAUUAAGUAGAGCAGAAAGUUCUGUAUUGGACAUAUAAAGCCCAUUGGAUGGAGCACCUCUAUAUAUGUUUGCCUAGGUGCUAGGAUUGGCAAGCGAAGACCCUAUUUGUCCUGCUGCCACUGGUGGCUUGCUGUGUGGGACAUUCAGUAGAAUCUGGAUUAGGAAUUCUGUCCUAGCUAGAAGUGUGGGUGUCUACUUCAUUGCUAGGCCUUCCAGUUCCGGGUUAAGACACAUCUGUUUACGCAGGCAUUUGGUGGGAUUUAAUUACAUUGCCCAAGUUCUUAGAGUUAUUAGGACCUGCUGCUGCCUUGUUGUUUUAUUGUUCAUAAAGGCUUUUCAAAAAAUUGGUGUCUUUGUGGGUUUUGUUUUUGUUUUCGUAGGUUUUAUAAUUUUAAUGGUGUUUUCCAGAUUGCUUGUGUAAUGUUUGUAAACCACUUUGUUUUAUGAAGGGUGGUCUAGCAGUUAUGUAACUAAAAUAUAUAAGGUUGUCAUAAUUUGCCUAACAGUUUUCUUCCCUAAAGCUCUCAUGUACCACAGUUCAUUGUCCAUGAAAGCUUACCCCAUAAUAAAUUUGUUGGACUUCAGUGUGCCAUCAGACUGUUGGUUUCGUUACAGCAGAAAAAGAAGGGCUUCCCGUAGCAAACAAUUCUUUUCAUAAAAAAUAAUAGAUACAGGAACCCUUGGCAUUCUUAUCAUUUUCUGAUAAAUGCAAAGUUCCCUACAAUACAAAUGUGUGAAGGUUUGAAGCAAAUUGGUGUUUGGAAAGGUCUGAUAAUAAUGGGGGACUGCAUAGUUUAUUUGUUUUUUAUUUAUUUGCUUCCACUUAGAACUCACCCUUCAUCACCCAACAAUUCUUACCCAGCAAUUCCCUUCAAAAUCAUAAUAACCAUUGCAAUAUAAGAAUGCAAAACAUCACAUAAAAAUGCCUCAAAUGAUCAUAACAACACAGCAGGCAACACAUCAGUAGGCACCUGGCAUUAUUACUUCAAUUCCACCCAAAAGCCUCAGCAAAGAGGUAUAAUCGUUCUUACAAUUAGUAAUAUUUUUCAUAUGGAGACUUAUGCAGUGUUUACUGGUAGUGGUAAUCAAAUACCCAGCUGCUUGUGGGUGACAUUUUUCAUAGAAUCAUAGAAUUGUAGAGUUGGGAAGGACCUCGAGGGUCAUGUGUCCCAUCCCCUUGCAAUGUAGAAAUCUUAACUAAAUCAUCCAUGACAGAUGGCCAUCCAACCUCUGCUUAAAAGCCUUCAGUGAUGGAAAGUCCACUACCUUCUGAGGGAGUCUGUUCCACUGUCGAACAACUCUUACUUAUCAGAGCUGUUUUCUUCAACGCAAGUUAGCUUCCUCUCAACAAGAUGCCUGAGUGAGGGCAGGAAGCACUGCUCCUGCUGUAGCCCUCACUUUGACCCCAUGUGGUACCAUGUAUCUUUCUGGGCAUCAGAAUGAACAAAGCGUAACUUGCUCUGAUUAUUUGUAAUAAGAGCCUGCUGAACCAGGCCAAGGACCCAUCUAAUCCAGCUUCCUGUUCUCAAGGUGGCCAGCCAGAUGCCUGUAGAAAACUCACAAGCAGGACCUCCCACCCCCGUGUUUUCCAGCAGCUGGUACUCAGAAGCAUUACUGUCUCCUACUUUGAAAGCAGAGUAUAGCUAUCAUGGCUAGAAUCCUCCAUGAACUUGUCCAGCUCUCUUUUAAAGCCAUUCAGUUUGGUGAUCAUCACUGCCUCCUGGGAAAGCAAGUUCCAUAGUUUAAAUAAGGCCUGUGUGAAGAAGUAUUUUCUUUUCUCUCUGUCCUGGAUCUUCUAAAAUUCAACUUCACUGGAUGUCCGUGAGUUCUAGUAUUAAGAGAAAGAGAGAAAGGUUUAUUUAUCUACAGUGGUACCUCGGUUUAAGUACUUAAUUCGUUCUGGAGGUCUGUUCUUAACCUGAAACUGUUCUUAACCUGAAGCACCACUUUAGCUAAUGGGGCCUCCUGCGACCGCCACGCCGCCGGAGCACAAUUUCUAUUCUUAUCCUGAAGCAAAGUUCUUAACCUGAAGCGCUAUUUCUGGGUUAGAGGAAUCUGUAACCUGAAGCGUAUGUAACCUGAAGCGUAUGUAACCCGAGGUACCACUGUACUUUCUCAUACCGUGCAUAAUUUUAAUAAACUUCUGUCACGUCCCCUCUUGCUCACCUAUUCUCUGAAUUAAAAAGUCCCAAAUGCUGCAUCUUUUCCUCAUAGGAGGCAGAACACCCAUAUAUAGAAAGUUCCUUAUCAGUAAUCUUUCUCCUCCCCACUUGCUACCAGUGUACACUCCACUCACCUGUCCCCAUUACUCUGCCAAGUUGCACAAGUCCUGAACUUUCUGUUCUUGAUCAAGUGGAAUAGAAGAGCUGGAUUGGGAUUAGGAAACACCUGCAGCCCUCCCAUGUCCAUGUAACAGCCUAUUGCAAUAUUUGAAUGUGUGCUGAGCCAAGGAGGAGGAAAUUAGUAUCUGAGCCAAGAGGGACCCCUCCAUGUGAGGGUGCUCUGCUCAUGCACAGAAUAUGUUUCCCCUGGGGUUUGACCAGGCAUCAUCACACUGUUUAUGCUUUUCAGUAAAUUGUAUUUGCUUAAAGUAUUAGACAUUUCCGGGGGGGGGGGGCGGGCGGGCGGUUUGUUGUCAUUUUUUAAAAAAUAAAUAAAAAGCUUGCUAAAUCAAUUGAUGUAAUUGAAUCAAGUGCAACUCCCUGAUGAGAACCAGCUUAUUUUGAAUCUAGUUAACCUUCAUAUGACUUUUUCUCCUAGAACUGCAACAUAAUUACAUUUCAGAUUAAGUUAUUAUGGGCAUAAUGGGUGACAUCUUAUCUUACGGAAAUAAAACAACUAUUAAGGAUUAUGUAUGUGUUGGAGCACAUAUUUUUAAAGUAUCUGUAUAAGAGUUGUUAGAGACAUAAAUCUAAAAAUGCCCUGUUGUCUUGACUGGUAGCUUAUUUUGUGAAAUACUGAAAAUGUGUUAGGUGCUGUAUGAACUCAUGGGGAAAUAGUUUCUUCCUUCAACUAGUUUAGUCUUUCAACAUUUCUUUUUUAAAAAAUUGGAGCUUCAUUUAAGCUUUCUCCACAUGUAAAUUUUGUAUUGUCUCCUGUAUAACAUUUUUUUCCAUAAUAAUAAUUUUAAAAUUCCUCUUGCAACCAAAUUCAUAACAUUGAGUGCAAAAAAUGAGUUGUGGAUAUAGAUCUCAAAUGUAGAUUCACUCUUCUUAUUUGUUUCCCAAAUCCCUGAUCAAUGGGAUGGCUUGUGUUACCUAACCCACUCUGUAAAAAGCUAUGCUCAUAAUUCAUUUUAAUGAUGGCAUAAGGAACAUUAAUUAUUACUGUAUUUUGAUGAACGCAUUGAGACCUGAGGCACAUCAAACAUGUAAAAGGAGUAACAAAGAAGAAUAUAAUUAUCCCUAAUAGACAGAAUGUGUUGAAGUAGCAUACAUUAUGAAUGUAAUAUUGUGGUUCAGAUAUUGUUACUGAAAGUAUUUGGUACAAUGACAGACAAUUUUAAGUACUUGGAUACACUUAUAACACACACACACACACACACACACACACACCCGUGAAAAUGACUAAACUGAAUUAAAUCCAAGUAUUUCAGAUCCAUUGGGAUUUGGCUCAGACUGCAUGUUCCUUGGUAGGAGGACAUGGAUAAAGUAUUACGGGAAAUAACUAUAGAUCAUGGUAUUUCACUUUCAGUAGACUAUGACCAUCUGACACAAAAAGGCCAGAGUCCACUAAGCAUAUCUCCUGCAUUUCCAUUUAGUUUAUUUGUCCUUUAGGAAAGAACUAUGAUUGUCAUUGUUGAGAUACAGAUGUGUAUAUGUGGGGUGUGUGUGUGUUAAACUUUCUGGUUUUGUACCCCCAGUAUGUGAACUGUAAAUCAGGAAAGCUAAUACCUUUAGCAUGGGAUUUGUAAACUUAAGUUUGUUUGUUUUAAACAGUGGUUUAAUGUGAAUAUGUAGUGGCCUAACUUAAUGUGUCAUGUGAACAAGGGAGGGAAAGUGAACCUUGGGGUGAAGUGUCAAGACAGACUCUGGUUUGUUUUGAUUAUGAGGCAGUAACAGCAGAUGUCAAGGAGGAGCACUGUGGAGACUUUUGAACAGCAUGCACCAGCACCCUGGUUGUUCUCAUAAAAUAAUUACAUUACAUCCCUUUAUUACACUAAUAUUCCACCUUUCCUCCAAGAGGCUCAAAGUGGCAUACAUGGUUUCCCUCCUUUUCCAUUUUAUGCUGACAACAACCUUGUGAGGUAGUUUGGUCUGAGAAACUGUGACUGGUCCAAGGUCACCCAGCAGGCUUCCAUAGCUGAAUGGGAAUUUCAACUCCAGUUUUCCAGGUCCUGGUCCAAGACUCUAAUCACGAUACCACAGGUAGGACCUGAUCCCGCACAGCAAUGGAUCAUUUUCAGCUCCCUAUGCAGGAGUAAAGGGGAAGAAUGUCUUCUGUUUAGGUGAGAUCAAACUGAACUCCCAGAGAGUUGCUAAAUGCAAUGUUUGGUGGUUCUUCUGGUGAUUCACAGAAGCAAGAAUGGGUGGGGGGUGCGAUGAUGGACGGACAGCAUUUUUCUUGCACUUAUUUUUAACUGCAAUAGACAGUGCCCACAUACUCUAAUUCACUGCUAUUUUCUCCUUCUGCUAAUCGAGUUUUUACUGUGAGUUGACAUUAAGCCAUUAGAAUGUCAUUCAAAGUCAGAUAAAAAACUGACUUGAUGAGAUGCUGAUUAGCUCAUAAAAAGGAGGCAUCCCAAAGUAAUAAUAGUAUGUCUAGAAAGAUUAAUAUGUGGGGGUGGGGUGGGGGGAGGCGAGAGAAAGGAGGAGCCACUCAGCCAUAAUUUUAUCACUGUUUUAGUUGUCUCCUGUAGUUAUAUCUUGCAAUAUGUUGUUGAUAAUCGUUGAUUGCUUCCAUCUUUGUUUCACUGACAUUUGCAAAGUAUGUUUAAAUAAUUGAAAAGCAAAAGGGAACCAUUUUACAGUUCCUGAGGUGUUAUAAUUCAGCAUUUGUUGUGUUAACCAAAAUCAAAUAUCUACCAAGGUGCAUACAGUGGUACCUCUGGAUGCAAACGGGAUCUGUUCCGGAGCCCCGUUCGCAUCCUAAGCAGAACGCAACCCACAUCUGCGCGUGCGUGGGUUGUGAUUUGCCACUUCUGCACAUGCAUGUGACGUCAUUUUGAGCACCUGCGCAUGCGUGAGCGGCGAAACCCGGAAAUAACCCGUUCCGUUACUUCCGGGUCGCUGUGGAACGCAACCUGAAAACGUUCAACCUGAAGCUACUUUAACCCGAGGUAUGACUGUAUAGAAAUUUAUCAUCUAACGAAAGCUAAUUGUUGACCCAUAUUGAUGAUAAGAUACCAUAACCAUGGCUUCUGCCCCUCUUUAGUGUAAAAACAGCAACAUUGUUGAGAAAGCUUCCUUCCCCAAUCUUUUAUUGCUUUUUGUUAACACCUGCCAUUUAGGAACAAUAUGUCUGUUAGAACUGGCUGUGAGUUGCUAUGCCGUAAGUAGUAAGAACGAUAAUUUUACUGUUGCUCUGUUGUUUGUUAGCACUCACAAAAUCUAAACAUACAUAUCAGAAAACAUUUUUUGUGUUCCCAAGUUUUAUUAAAAUUGAGCAGGGUCUGUUGGACUGUAUCUUAUCCAUUCCAGGUUAAUCAGGCUGAAAGAGAUUGAGAGAUACGUAGAGAAAAAAUGAUAACUAGCUUUACUGUCGUCAUGUAGGUUUUCUUGUUGUUUAUUAUUGCUUUUACUUGGCAGAAAGCUUUGAAGAUGUGAAAUCUCUUUGCUCCGAGCCUUGUUUUUCUUCCCUAAAUAGAAGCCGAUACAUUUUCUUUGUAAGGAUUUCCAUACAAUUAUCAUCCUCACUUCUUUUGUAUGUUACUAAGAUUCUGAGAAGGGGAUGCAGCUUGGAAACGUACCAGCCAAUUCUUUCUUCCCAACCAAUUACAGCUCUUUCCUGUUUGUUUCCAAUAACCAAAGUGCUUCAUUGUAAUCCAAGUGCUGUAGAAAACACUUUUAUCUGUCUAGCUCAUAGAUAGACUUCAGUCCAUUAAUUUCAAUGGGUUUGCUCUGAGUAUGAGUUCAUUACAUAUAACCCAUAGACAUAGAUAUAAGGUUGAUUUAGAUGUAUCCCAUGUCUCUAGAAUGUGUGAAUAACAAAUACUCUAGGAUUUAACUACUCUUAGAUUUGUAAAGAGGCAGACACAUAAGCUGGGGUUGAACUGGGCCACUUUUAUUUAAACCUCAUACAGUAUUGAAAUCAGCAGAGGGCGAUGACUAUGGGGCGGGAACUAACUUCACUGUAUAACUAUAGCCAUUGGGUGACCUGCCUUUACCUAAGGAAUUAUGGCAUGGCUUUCUAGCCUGUCCUGAAUCUCAGGCUGAAGGUGAAGAAGGGAGGCUGUACCUUGUCACCACAUCCCGGAACCCCAGAACCCCAGGUGGAUAAGGGAGUUUGGCCUCAAAAAAGUCCCCUAUCUCACCCUCAGAACCACGGAAUCCGAGAAGUGAGCCUCAGGGCCAACCCAUUACCUGAAAAAUGCCUAAAGGAUGUCACCAGGCUAAACAGUUUCUUUUCCUGCAUCUAAACUGCAGUCCCCUCUGCAGGUCAGUAGGAAGAUGUCAUUGCUGACAUCCACCAAAUGGACUCCACCUGGCCUAUACAGUUCAACCCCCAUCCCCACCAUACUUUCAUGGUGGAUUACUUAACCUCACUGGCCCUGAACUGCAAGCCAAACUUCCCUGUUGACUUCUGGGACUUGUCCUAUUUAUUCCCUUAGGAUCAAGAGAACUGCUGAGCUCUUCUCAGCAUAUUUCAGACCACACUAAAGGAAUAGCCAGCCAACAUUGCCGGAUAACUUGAAAACCAACAUGGCUUGCAGGCACAGAAUCUUUCCUUUCAGUAUACCCAGCUCAUUGACUGCCCAGGUGGGGAAGUUCUAGCACUAUCCUGCCUGGAACCACAAAGGGAGCAACUGGUCCCAAUGCAUGCCUUGGCAGCCCCAACCACUAAACUGCCAUUAACUGACUAAAUCCCAGAUUGUUGCCACCCAGGUAGACACCAGCAACUGGGGAGGUUCCAGCACUACCAUAGCUGGAACUUAGGUGAGCUGUGGUAGAUAUAACACCAAUGUGAAAUGACUGAACCCCAAAUGAAUCCGAAUCCGAGCCCAAAUUGUAGGGUGCCACUUUAAUGAAUACCCAGAAUAGAAAAUGUGUCAGUAGUGUAAUAUGCACUCUUUGAUGUGGAAUUAUAUUUAUUGUGUGUCCGCGCACAUGCACACAGUUCUUGCUAUAAUUAUCAUCACCACAUCACCACCAUCCUGGGUGCUUGUGAUUUCUUACUUUGUUUAUAUACAUACACACACAACGUCUUAAAAUUAUGUAACUAUACACACUUCAAAACACACUUCAAAAACUUUGAUUUCCAUAAAAAAGAAGCCCCAAGGAUUCCCAAGUUUUAUUUACUUACACUUAAUUCCUUUAAGUGUCUCAGUUUGUUAAGUAAACUAGUUGGGAGAUAUAAAAAAAAUCAGAUUAAUUUUACUUUGCUGAACUUAACUAGGAAAAUAACAUUUUUAGCCUAGAACUUGAGGGUUAUAGCAGAGGUGGAUUAAGGGCAGCACGACUGGUUCUGCCACACUGGGCACCAAGCCUAGGGGGCACAACUAUGACAUAAUGAGCUGAGCAGAAUGGAAGGCAGGAGAUGGAGGGCACCAAAUUUUGGCCUCGCACAGGGUCCUGCUGAAAUUUUAAAGACCAAACUCCACCCCUGGUUCUAAACAGUAAGGAGUUACUGGUUGUGCGGAAAUCCAUUGCUGAAGUAGUCACAGACAGAUUAACUCCUUAAUUAAGUCUGCUGCAAGAGAUAUACAACCCAUGCCUUAAUUAGAUUAGACUACUGUAAUGUGCUCUACAUGGUGCUGCUCAUGAAAACAGUUGAUGAGCUCCAGUUGGUACAGAGUGCUGCUUCCUACUUUGUGUCAGCUGUAAGUCAGUAUAAUCUUAUCACACCUGUGCCUAAACAGUUACACUGGUUACUUGCAAGCUUCUGGACUCAAUUCCAAUGUAUUUGUUCUAUAAAGCCUUAAAUUAUCAGGCUAUAUCCCGAAGGCAUAUGAUGCAGGAACCUUGUUGAAGUUAAGCAGCUCUGAAAGGGUCAGUACCUAAAUGCAAACCACUCAGGAACCCCAUUUUUGCUGCCUUUAGAGAUGUCGCGAGAGAAAGGCAAGGUAUGCAUGUUUUAAUGUAUUAAAACAUGUACAGAACUCAUGUAGCCAUACCAUAACAUACAUUCUCUGAGAUCCUCAUGAAACAUAUUCCAUUAAACAGUACAAUGAAUGCUAUUUAAUUUUUAAAGCGCAGUUGAAAUGCUAUUUUUUAAACUAGGAGGAAUUUUAAAGUUGUAUAAAAGGUCAUCUGGUACCAAGGAGAUCACAAAGAUGAUGCCAAUCAAAGCUGUCCACGAAGGCUAUUCUGUAACUCAGGUGCCACUGCCAGUAAAGCCAUCUCCCUCCUGGUUGCCUGACUCUUUGCCAGAUAGCUUUUACUAAAUUUGGACAGAGUUUGGCAAAAGCUGGAUAUAGGAAAAAAUAAUAGCUUUUAGCUAACAUUUGCAUUUUUUAUUUGAAAUGAAUUAUCACAGCCAUGAUUCUUACAUUCUUAAAAUACUCAGUAUUUCCAGCAGACAAAGGCUAACAAUGCAUGAAUUAAAGUAGUAUUGAUCUUUGCCUUUUUUUAGUGUUCACACAGAAACACUUAGCAAAAAUAUAUAUAUGUGGGAUCUCAUAGCUUGUUGUUCCUGUUGUUGUUGUAGGCAUAAUAAAUAUCAUGUGAGCCAUAUGUCAGGAUAGUCCAUCUAGUGCUGUAUUUCAUGGUUAGUUAAGGUGGAUGAGAAAUUUCUUAAAACAAUUGCACUUUCCAUGCAGCUUACACUGGCAAAACCAAGCUUUGGUGACUCAUUGUUCCAGUGCUGAAAUUCCAUCAAGGGGAAAAGGAUUUGCUUUGAACAAAAAUGUUUUAGUCAACAGAGAGAGCUAACAUUUUAGAGCUAUUAAUCAGAGCAGUCAGCUGAAUGUAGAUUUAACUCUAGGAUUUAGAAGAUACGGCAACUGCAACUGUGCUCCGAAAAAACUGAGGAUUGAAAAUAGCAGAUUGAGUUGCAGCAUUUUGAAGUCCCCCCCCCUCCCAAAUUGGUUUACUUGUAAUUCAGUUUACUGCUUGCAGAAUUUGGUGUCAUCUUAACAUUUCACCAAUGUUGCAGUUGCAAUAGAAGUGUGACAUGCUGUGUGUGUGUGUGUGUGUGUGUGUGUGUGUGUGUGUGUGUGAACUUAGUUAUAUUUUAGAAUUCUCAUUUGAAUAAAAUCCAUGUUUCAUCUUCAAUUAAUCUUAAUCCUUUUAUUUUAUUUUUUACCCUAAGAGGAAAUGGGCCUGUAGUGAACCAUCUAGGUUUGUUGUUCUGGCAAAACGGCUUUUUAAUCAGGCUCUGCUUGUACAUUUCUUUUGCAGCCUGCCCCAAUGUGAUUCCCUCUAGAUGUUGUUGGACUACAUCUACAACUCUCCCCCAACCAGCAUAGUCAAUGGUCAGAGAUUGUUGGAGUUGUAGUCCAAAACAUCUGUUGAAGUGAGCUGUCCUACUACAUGCAUUGGUUGACCAUUGUUGGAGAUUGAAUGCUAGACUGAAAUAAUCUUUGAUCUAGUCCACCAAUGCAAUUCUUUUAUUGUAAAGAACUUAAAUUUCUUUGCUAACAUUCACUAAUUUAAAUGCUGUUGCCUAGGAACAACCUGCAAAUAAGCAGUUGUGGGUGGUGAAAAGCUUUCUUGAAGUGAGACAAAUUUAUGACCUUGACAAAUAUUCCAAUACUCUGCAACAAAUGUCCAUAGAAUAUAUACAUCUAAUUUUUGCAAUUUUUAUGUAUUAGUGUCCAGUAGUGAUGCAAUUUCAAGAUGGUCUACUUAUUUUUAGUAAAACAACAGACUCGUGUGACACCUUAGAUUAACACCUUUAUUAUGGCAUAAUAUACGUCUGUUAAUUAGUUGACAAAUUUCAGGAUGUUUAUAGUAUUAUCAGCAUUGCUUCAUGAAUGAUCUUUGUAAUUAUUUUACAUUCAUCUAAGCUUUAGCAGACUUAUCACAAUCCAUAUGUCUUGAAUUUAAUUUCUCUCUGACGUCAUUGCUAUCAGGGUUUUCCAUAUUCUGAGCUCAUUGACUCCUUGAUGAGCUUAUAAAGUUGUCCUUGACUCCAACCCAAAUUCCUAGGAACGUAAAUGAAAUAAAGUCAAGAAAUAUCAAUAUGUAAUCUAUUCAUGAUCAGUCACCAGUACUAGGAAUCAUAAGAUGUAAAAAAAGGAAGUAAAACAAGUGAAAAUAAUGGUUUCUGUAUACGGUUUUCUUAAUAAUAAAGAAGCAUGGCCUGGGAAUACUGUUGUAUCAUAUUCAAUACUCAGUGUCUGGGUAGAACGAUGGGGGUGGAGAUGCUCCUUCAAGUAUACUGGGCCGAGGCUGUUUAGGGCUUUAAAGGUCAGCACCAACACUUUGAAUUGUGCCCGGAAAUGUACUGGGAGCCAAUGUAGGUCUUUCAAGACUGGUGUUAUGUGGUCUUGGUGGCCAAUCCCAGUCACCAGUCGAGCUGCCGCAUUCUGGAUUAAUUGUAGUCUCCAGGUCACCUUCAAACACGUAGAGCGUGUUGCAGUAGUCCAAGCGGGAGAUAACUAGAGCAUACACCACUCUGGCAAGACAGUCCACAGGCAGGUAGGGCCUCAGCCUGCGUACCAGAUGGAGCUGGUAAACAGCUGCCCUGGACACAGAAUUGACAUGUGCCUCCAUGGACAGCUGUGAGUCCAAAAUGACUCCCAGGCUGCGCACCUGGUCCUUCAGGGGCACAGUUACCCCUUUCAGGACCAGGGAGUCCCCCACACCCACCCACCCCUUGUCCCCCCAAAACAGUACUUUUGUCUUGUCAGGAUUCAACCUCAAUCUGUUAGCCACCAUCCAUCCUCCAACUGCCUCCAGGCACUCACACAGGACCUUUACCGCCUUCACUGGUUCUGAUUUAAAAGAGAGGUAGAGCUGGGUAUCAUCUGCAUGAUCUCCUGAUGAUCUCUCCCAGCAGCUUCAUAUAGAUGCUAAAAGCAUGGGGGAGAGGACGGAACCCUGAGGCACCCCACAAGUGAGGGCCCAGGGGUCUGAACACUCAUCCCCCCCCCACUUUCUGAACAGAGCCCAGAAGGAAGGAGUGGAACCACUGUAUAACAGUGCCCCCAGCUCCCAGCUCCUCUAGAUGGUCCAGAAGGAUGUUAUGGUUGAUGGUAUCAAAGGCUGCUGAGAGAUCCAGCAGAACUAGGAAACAGCUCUCACCUUUGUCCCUAGCUCGCUGGAGAUCAUCAACCAGUGCGACCAAGGCAGUUUCAGUCCCAUGAUGAGACCUGAAUCCCAAUUGGAAGGGAUCCAAAUGGUCCGCAUCCUCCAGGUGUGCUUGGAGUUGUUCAGCAACCACUCGCUCAAUCACCUUGCCCAAGAAUGGAAGAUUUGAGACUGGGCGAUAGUUGGCCAUAUUGGCCGAUUCUAAAGAAUUUUUUUUAAGAAGCGGUUUAAUGACCGCCUCUUUCAGUGGGUCUGGGAACGCUCCCUCACAGAGGGAAGAAUUCACCACCCCGCAGAGCCCAUCACCCAGCCCUUCCCAGCUCACUUUUAUUAGCUAGGAUGGGCAAGGAUCAAGGAGACAGGUGGUUGGUUUCACUUGUCCAAGCAGCCUGUCCACAUCCUCAGAGGUAACAGAUUGGAAUUGAUUCCAUUCAACUAGACUAGACAGGACUCUAGCACUCUUCCACCCCAGCCCUGCUCCCAUGGUGGAGUCUACCUCCUUCCGAAUCUGAACGACUUUAUCUGCAAAAAACUUUGCAAAAUCAUUGCAGGAGAUCUUAGGGUCUUUACAAGGCCCUGAUGGCAAAGGUGGUUCUGUUAAAUUGCAAACCACCUGAAAUAGUCUCCUGUUGCUAUUUUCUGCAGAUGCAAUAGAGUCCUCUUCACCUUCGCUAUCGCCACUUGGUAGGCUCAAUAUUGAGCUCUAAUCCUAUCCAAUUCAGAAUGAGUUUUCCGCCACCGGCGCUCUAGCCGUCUCAGCGAUUGUUUCCUCGCCCUCAGCUCCAGGGAAAACCAUGGGGCUGUCUGGGCUUCAUGCAAUCGGAGAGGGUGCUUCGGAGCCAGACAGUCAAUAGCCCAAAGUCUUUCUACCCUUAUUUUUUGUGAUUUUUAUUUUUGGCAAGUGUGUAAAGCUGAAUGCACGCAAGUUAAAUAUGUGUAAGUUGCAAGUUACAUGUACUUGCCAACUCAGGAUAGCAUUCCACAAAUCUGAUGAAGUGACCCUUUUUUAGUCAUUAAAGACAUCUCAAGUCCCAUGCUUCAACUACAUGGCUGCCCACUGAAAACCAUUUUUGCUAGCUCCAGUGAAUAUUUUCAAGAGGGAUAUGUUAUAAUUUCUUUUAUUUUCUUUUUUACUUCAUAGAGUACAGUUAAGAGUUAGCAGACAAGCUUCAUGUCAGUUAUGAUGCUGUGAGAAGCAUUGUAUAUUAACCUUUGCAUUAUGAUUUGUGAAUUUGAGAUUUUACUUUUACUAAGAUGACCAUGUAUAAUAAAUACGUCAAUAAUAUAAAUAUGCAUAUUGUAACUCUGAGCAGCACUGCCAUAACUACAAUAUUUUACUUUUUUUCUAUCAGGUUUGUCACUUUUUUGUUACCUCAUAAAAAAAUUUGCUUUUAUAAAAGGUUAUCCUGUAAUGCAGAGUUUGUAUUCAUAAAUUCCAAAUGAAUAUGUGUACUCAGUGGAUUUUUGUUUAUUUGAAAUUCUUUUUGCAGACAGACCUCCUUCAGAAAAAAAAGGGCCAUAUUUCUGAGGAUUUCAAAAGGCUCUAAAUUAUCUUCAUGGAUACAAGCAAGUAGACAAUGGCGCUCUAACCAUCUGUUCAAGCUUCUUGAGGAAAAAGUCUGCCGUGGAAACAUCAUGAAAAGUAAUGUAACUUCUGCAGAUGGCCAGAAUAUUUUUAACCUGUAUUUUAAAAUCCAACUCCUUCUACACUAUGAAAAUUCUGCAUAUAUUGUUAGCAUUUACAUUUUGAGGAGCAGGGAAAAUAGCUAUUCCCAGAAUGGUAACCCUCUUCUCUAUAUAAAAUGACAUGCAGCACAAUCCAAGAUGUGUUUACUAAGGAACAAGACACACUGAUUUCAACUAAACUUACACCUUGGUGUGUUUAGUACUGCAGCAUCAGAAGCAAAAUAAAUGUACUUUAGUGUAUUACUCAACAUAGAGUUUGUUCAUUCAUUUAUUUUCAUGAAGAUGAACAAUUAAGCAGUUGGUUGGGUUCUUGAUCUGGAAAGUACACUGUCCACACAACAAUUCAUUCUCUGAUAAUGGGCUAAUUCUUUGCCUAAUAUAUCUUGAUUAAAAAUAUUCAAGUUUAUAGCCCUGAGAGCAGCUUAUAAAUUCU